AUGGGCACCCCCUGUAGGAGGAGGAAGGAAGCAGCCUCCCUGGUGCCGUGCACACACCGUGGGCUUUCUAGCGGAUUCCAGGCACAGACGCCCACCAGGAUUCCAGGGCCCCGCGUGCCACCCAGCUGGCCCGGCAGGAAGCAGUCGGAUUCCGAGGAAGGGCUCCACCCGAAGGUGCCGCCAGGUCGCGUCAGGUCCCUGCCCCUGACGAGGGGCACAGAAGUCAAUCAGAAGCAGCACGUGGAACACGAGGACGGGCUGUCCCCCCUGCUCGGUGCUAAGCAGAGAGACUUAUCACCUGAGAGACUCGACUACGUCCGCCUGCAUCUGGAUAACACACACACAGCUCCGGGAGCCUCCCCAGAACCGGAGGACCCAUUCUCAGAGCAAUUAAGGACAGCUUUCUGUCAUCAGCAAAUGAAAGUACUCUGCUCAGGAGUCAUUUGAAAACUUUUCCCUGUUCACAACGCUGCUAGACUGGUGAGCUAGACUGGUGGGACUGUUUGCUGGUCGAGGCCCCAGGCUGACUGAUGUGACGCAAUCCAAGGAGGAAAACACCCAGGACAGGGUUCAGGAGCCUGCGUUCCCCUGCCUCUCUCUACUAAGACAGCUCUUUCCAAAGGAAUGUGGGCUUUGGAACUUGGGGCAGAGGAGAGAAGAUGGCCACGGACACGUGAGGCUACCAG
rnacentral:lncRNA from 1 species